rnacentral:rRNA from 1 species
AGCGAACGCUGGCGGCAGGCCUAACACAUGCAAGUCGAACGAACGCUUCGGAGUUAGUGGCGGACGGGGGAGUAACACGUGGGAACGUGCCUUUUUGCUCGGGAUAACUCAGGGAAACUGGUGCUAAUACCGAAUGUGCCCUUCGGGGAAAAGAUUUAUCGCACUUAUAGAGGCCCGCGUCUUAUUAGCUAGGUGGGGAGGUAACGGCUCACCAAGGCGAGGAUCAGUAGCUGGUCUGAGAGGAUGACCAGCCACACUUGGACUGAGACGCGGCCCAGACUACUACGGGAGGGAGCAGAGGCGAAUCUUGCGCAAUGGGCGAAAGCAUGACGCAGCCAUGCCGCGUGAAUGAUGAAGGUCUUAGGAAUGUAAAAUUCUUUCACCGGGGACGAUAAUGACGGUACCCGGAGAAGAAGCCCCGGCUAACUUCGUG